rnacentral:rRNA from 1 species
UACGGGGGGGGCAAGCGUUGUUCGGAAUUACUGGGCGUAAAGCGCACGUAGGCGGAUUUGUAAGUCAGGGGUGAAAUCCCGGGGCUCAACCUCGGAACUGCCUUUGAUACUGCAAAUCUCGAGUCCGGAAGAGGUGAGUGGAAUUCCUAGUGUAGAGGUGAAAUUCGUAGAUAUUAGGAAGAACACCAGUGGCGAAGGCGGCUCACUGGUCCGGUACUGACGCUGAGGUGCGAAAAGCGUG